rnacentral:rRNA from 1 species
AUUGAACGCUGGCGGCAGGCCUAACACAUGCAAGUCGAACGAAGCCUUCGGGCUUAGUGGCGGACGGGUGAGUAACACGUGGGAACGUACCUUUUGGUUCGGAAUAACGCAGAGAAAUUUGCGCUAAUACCGAAUGAGCCCUUCGGGGGAAAGAUUUAUCGCCGAAAGAUCGGCCCGCGUUGGAUUAGGUAGUUGGUGUGGUAAAGGCGCACCAAGCCUACGAUCCAUAGCUGGACUGAGAGGAUGAUCAGCCACACUGGGACUGAGACACGGCCCAGACUCCUACGGGAGGCAGCAGUGGGGAAUCUUGCGCAAUGGGCGAAAGCCUGACGCAGCCAUGCCGCGUGAAUGAUGAGGGUCUUAGGAUUGUAAAAUUCUUUUACCAGGGACGAUAAUGACGGUACCUGGAGAAAAAGCCCCGGCUAACUUCGUGCCAGCCGCCGCAGUAAAAC